rnacentral:rRNA from 1 species
GGGGAAUUUUGGACAAUGGGGGCAACCCUGAUCCAGCCAUGCCGCGUGAGUGAAGAAGGCCUUCGGGUUGUAAAGCUCUUUCGGCCGGGAAGAAAUCGUGCAGGCUAAUACCCCGCGGAACUGACGGUACCUGCAGAAUAAGCACCGGCUAACUACGUGCCAGCAGCCGCGGUAAUACGUAGGGUGCAAGCGUUAAUCGGAAUUACUGGGCGUAAAGCGUGCGCAGGCGGUUCGGAAAGAAAGAUGUGAAAUCCCAGAGCUUAACUUUGGAACUGCAUUUUUAACUACCGGGCUAGAGUGUGUCAGAGGGAGGUGGAAUUCCGCGUGUAGCAGUGAAAUGCGUAGAUAUGCGGAGGAACACCGAUGGCGAAGGCAGCCUCCUGGGAUAACACUGACGCUCAUGCACGAAAGCGUGGGGAGCAAACA